GGUUCUUGACCUCCUGGUGAUCCAGAAAUUGAAUGCAGAAGGUAGAUUGGAGAAGAAAGAAGCAAAGAAGGGGAGUUAUUUUGACAAGAAUGAGCUUUCAGCUAUCUUGAGAUUUGGAGCAGAGGAACUUUUUAAAGAAGAGAAGAAUGAAGAAGAAAGUAUAUUGAGAUGAUUUCUUUGGAGCAAUUCUUGACAACAUUUGUAGUUGAGGCCUUUAGAAUGGAAGAAUGUAUUUCACUAAUUUUUGUAUACAUUUCUUGUUUUGUAUUUAGUGAUAAAGGAAUCUGAAUUGGGCAUAAAUUAUGUUGUAAUAUGAUUUCUUAAACCUAGACUAGUAGACUAAAUAUUGUAAUUACAUUUGAGUAAUUAAUAAAAAUCUAUUUAUGUUACCUUA